CGGAAGUUACUGCUGUGGCGGUGCCGCCUCCUCCGGCCACCAUGGCUCAAGAUUCUUGGGGGGUUUUGCUUGUCUCAGUCCCAGCAACAUUCCCACAAAAGGAAUCGAGCCAAAUCGAAGUGUGACUGACGAAACGAGUGAGGAAAUUACUUUCAGGGUCGUGGAAGUUGCACGCAGGAAAGAAGUGGAUAACUCCGCAGGUGUGGAUUAGCGGGAAUUGACGGACCGCUCAGAGGACUUGAAGUUAUUUAUCUCCAGCUUGUGUGAGGAUUUUGUGUGACUAUCUUGUGAGUUUGUUGUGAGGAUUACGCAAUUCCAUUUGUUAUAAUAUUGAAUUAUAAUUUGGGUUGUAAUAAUCGGUUUAACUGAGUUGUAUUUUGAACUCAGAGAUGAUCCGCUGUGGCAUUUUAAAUGAUUUCGAUUCGUUGAAAUUGUUUGGUGUUUAACGACUUUGAAAUUUUGAGUUUUUAAGCUCGAAAUUUUGGGGUCGUUACAGUUGGUAUCAGAGCCUAAGUGUGUAUUUGGCGAUUAUCAAUAUCAUCCGGGAGCGAUGAUCCGACUGCAGGCGGGCACCCAUCACAUGCUCCUCGGUAUUGAUAUGUCGUCGGGUACGCGAG